UCUGACGACCAUAGCGUCAUGGAACCACUCCUUCCCAUCCCGAACAGGACAGUGAAACGUGACCGCGCCGAUGAUAGUGCAGAUUGCCUGUGCGAAAGUAGGUCAUCGUCAGAC
rnacentral:rRNA from 1 species